rnacentral:rRNA from 1 species
UGAGGAACAUGACCUUCGGCGGGGGAUAGCCGGCCCAACGGCCGGGUAAUACCGCGUACGACCACAUGGGGACAUCCCUGGGUGGUGAAAGCAGCAAUGCGCCGAUGGAGUGCCUCGCGGCCUAUCAGCUAGUUGGUGAGGUAACGGCUCACCAAGGCAACGACGGGUAGCUGGUCUGAGAGGAUGGCCAGCCACAUUGGGACUGAGACACGGCCCAGACUCCUAGGGACGG